AUGCCCCAGGCCCAGGCGAGCUGGUGGAGGAUGUCUCGGCGGAUGGAGAAUUGGGAGUUGCCGAAGACGGGCUGGGAGCCUGGGGCUGGCUCUUUGCCUUCGGCGGGGUUGAAAUCGGGGUUGGUGUAGGCUUCCCAGGCGCGGGGGAAUGUGUGAUAGGCGGCCCAGGCGUUGCCAUGGACCGGGAGGCGGGCAUCGAUGUAGCGGACGCGGUAGCAGAGGCGGGUGAGCUCGGGCUCGGCGUGGCUGGCCAGGUGUUGCGGGGCGGCUUCGAGCCAGCGGGGGCCGACGAUGGCAUCGGCAUCGAGGAAGGUGAGGAUCUGGCCCUGGGCGUGGCGGAGGCCGAGGUUGAGGAGGCGGGGCUUGUUGAAGAUGGGCAUGGGGUCUCGGUCU
rnacentral:rRNA from 1 species